AGAUUAAAUGUCCAGCAAACGACGGCAAUGUUGCCAGAUUCCUUUUAGCGGGAAUUUUAAAAUUUUAUAGCAGUUUGGUUUUAAAUUUGACAGUUCUGUUUUCUCAAGUCAAAAAUCUUAACCUUACUUUUACAAGUGAUUAAGAUUAUUUUAUUUACAUGUAAAUUGAAACAAUAAAUAUUGUGCUUUGUCAUAAUUUAAAACUCAUUAUGUUGAAGUCUUUUCCAGUUGAUAAAAGUGCAAUUCAAAAACUUUUAGAUUUGUACUGUAUGGAUGGCACAGGAAGAGAACAAGAGUACAAGAACAUGAAACAUCUUAUUAUGAAUGUAUAUGUAUGUGAUCCUCAAAAAAUUAUUUUUCAAAACAAGAUAGAGAAUGAGCUUUAAAAUCCCAAGGAUCCUGCAAAAUGUCUAUUUGGUGUACUAGUCGAAUAAUAGUAUCUAAAAAUAAUGAAACUGUUUUAAAACACAUUAUGGGCAUGAGGAUGAUAUAGAGCACUUACAUAAAUACCAAAAUCAGAUAAAUAUCUCUUCAAAGUUUAUUUUGAGACUUUCUUCAAAAAUUAAACUUCAGACUGUCCAGGAUAGCAUAAUAGCAUAGGAGGCAAAUUAAAAAGAAUUAAUUUACUUACAAGAAGAGAUAUCACAAACAUUAAACUCUCUUAUGGCAUUGAUUUGAAAGAUGGGUAUAUGUACAAUGAUGAUGCAACCAGUGUUUAUUUUUGGGUUGAAUGCUUACAGAUUAUUUAUUUUUUCCAAUAUUAUUUUACAAACAACAGGGCAUACUAAUGGAUAUUCAUUCUGAAUUUAACAUUUA
rnacentral:lncRNA from 1 species